GCGGAGUAUAGCAUCAAUGGUAGAUGCGCAGGGUCGCGCCCUGUGUCCUUGGUUCGAUUCCAAGUGCUCCGCU
rnacentral:tRNA from 4 species